GACGAACGCUGGCGGCGUGCCUAACACAUGCAAGUCGAGCGGAGACAGUGAGUAGUUUGCUAUGAGCUGUUUUAGCGGCGGACGGGUGAGUAACGCGUGAGCAACCUUUCCCAGACAGGGGAAUAACACACCGAAAGGUGUACUAAUACCGCAUAAGACCACGGGAUCACAUGGUUCUGGGGUAAAAGAAUUAUCGGUUUGGGGUGGGCUCGCGUCCGAUUAGGUAGUUGGUGAGGUAACGGCCCACCAAGCCGACGAUCGGUAGCCGACCUGAGAGGGUGAUCGGCCACAUUGGGACUGAGACACGGCCCAAACUCCUACGGGAGGCAGCAGUGGGGAAUAUUGGGCAAUGGGGGGAACCCUGACCCAGCAACGCCGCGUGGAGGAAGAAGGUUUUCGGAUCGUAAACUCCUGUCCUUGGAGACGAGUAGAAGACGGUAUCCAAG
rnacentral:rRNA from 1 species